UUGUUUCUAAGUUGUUCGUCAUGGUGUUAGUUUUCCCCUAAUUCUAUCAUGUAUAUAUCUACUAUUUCUAAUUGGAGGGAUUAUGGUUGGUGAGCCUUUGGUGACAAGGCAAUUUUUUUAUCCUUUUUCUCUUCUGGUUGUUCCUUUUCUAUAGGAAGAAGAUAAAUCGGGAAGCCAUUUUGCCGCUGAAAGAUCAGAUGAACCAUGUAUAUUUGGUGAGGAUAAUCCUCCUGAUUCGUAGGGUCACAGCCAUCGACAGAGAUCAAGGUUCCCAGGAGACUUUGGCUGAGAAGCAGCAGCGGGAGGGGUCGAGCUAUUAUUGAGAGGAAAGAGUGGUAGAUUGUGUUGAUUUUGCUAGCAUUAGCCAUCGAUAGAGAUCAGGGUUCCUAGACUUCGUCCGAGAGGCAGCAGCGGGAGGGUCAAGCUAUUGUUCAGAUGAAAGAGUGGAUCCAAAUGAGGCUUGCGAAGAAAUUAAACUUUCCCAUCAAAUACUUACAUGCACCAUUUGAUUUUCUUCCUUGCAUCAUCAAAACAUUGUAGUGGGGACAUCGCUUUACAGUGCUUCCUUCAGUUAUUAUACAACAACUUCCGUUGUUAUUCAUUAGAUUUGACGCUUCGCGGCAAGAUUUGGGUAUGAUUUGAUUGUGGGAUAUUAUGGAUAUUACAGAUUAUCCUUACAUUCGUUGUUGAUCCUAUAUUGGCCAUUCAACACUCACUCUAGAGGCACCUCAAUUCCCAGGUAAAGGCUCUUCGUAUUUUCCAAUUAAUAUUCUUACACUUCUUUCCUUUCUUCAUUUACAUGAUUACUUAUGACCCUUAGAUCUAAGGGUUAAGCAUGCUUUGAUAUGUUUGGACUGCACAUGUAUUUUUUUUAGUGAACGGGGAGUUUUACUCCAUUUUAGGUAAUUAUUCCAGUUUUGAGCUUUUUGUCAUAUUCCAGUUUUCUUGAGAGAUCCAGCAGUGCUGACUUUAUACUGUGAGCCGAGUGCACCUU